rnacentral:rRNA from 1 species
UACGUAGGGUGCAAGCGUUAAUCGGAAUUACUGGGCGUAAAGCGUGCGCAGGCGGUUUUGUAAGUUUGUCGUGAAAGCCCCGGGCUCAACCUGGGAAUUGCGAUGAAGACUGCAAGGCUUGAAUCUGGCAGAGGGGGGUAGAAUUCCACGUGGUAGCAGUGAAAUGCGUAGAGAUGUGGAGGAACACCGAUGGCGAAGGCAGCCCCCUGGGUCAAGAUUGACGCUCAUGCACGAAAGCGUGGGGAGCAAACAGG